rnacentral:rRNA from 1 species
AUUUUCUUUAAAUUUAAAGAAUUUGGCGGUAGUUUAGUCUAGUCAGAGGAACCUGCUUGUUAAAUCGAUAAAACACGCAAGAUCUUACUUAUUUUUGUUUAGUUUGUAUACCGUCAUUAGCAGAUAAUUUUGUAGAAAAUAGAAUUAUUAAAUUUAAUUAAAAUCAAAAAAAUUAGAUCAAGGUGCAGCUAAUAAAUAAGGUAAAGUGGGUUACAAUAAGAUUUACUUACACGGAGUAAAAUAGUUAGAAUUUUAUGAAGGAGGAUUUGAUUGUAUUGGAAGUUUAAUAUGCUUAGG